UGGUGUAGCCUUCACUUUAUGUUC
rnacentral:miRNA from 1 species